AUCAUUGUAAAGUGCUACAGGAGUAAGAUAGAUAUCGCUGUUGAUUCCUUCUGCCUGAUACGUCGAGCUACCGUCAUAAGUCCACUCUGGUAUUUCUAAAAGAAAAUUUUUUAUUAUUUUCUUCAUCAUCGAUAUGGAAAAAUCUCAAGAGUUACAUUACGAUAAUCUUUAUAUUUAUCUAUGUAAAAAGAUAAAGAAAACAAAAUGAUUCGCCAGUAGCGCUGUCUGGUUGAAAUAAUGCACGACUUGUUGCACGUUCCUCGUCGUACACGACAUAAGCUCGUGCAUCCACGAUGAUGAUGAUGAUGAUGAUGAUGCAGCUGGAUGUACAGUGGUUCAACCAGAAAGAGAGAAA
rnacentral:lncRNA from 1 species